rnacentral:ribozyme from 1 species
GACAUGACGAAAAGAACCAAAAAAUUAAAAAAAAAAAAAAGGAGAAAGGGAGAGGAUGUGUGUUGAUGCUUUGAGAAUUCAGAUUUUUUUUGUAUAUGUGGUUCACUU